UCGAUUAGAACUCUUAGAAAAAAUAACGCUGUUAUCCCUAAGGUAAUUUUUUCUUUUAAUCUUUAAAAUAAGGAUCAUCCAAAGUCACUUAUAAAUGUCUUUAUUAAAAAAAAGUUUAUUUAAUUUUUUAAUCACCCCAAUUAAAUUCUUAUAUAUUAAAAAAAAUAAAAUACUAAAAUUUAAAUUUUAAUAAUAAUAAAAAUAAAACUCUAUAGGGUCUUCUCGUCUUUCAUAUUUAUUUAAGCUUUCUCACUUAAAAAUAAAAUUCAAAAAUUUUAAACUGAGACAGUAGUUUUUUCAUCAAACCUUUCAUACCAGCUUCUAAUUAAGAAACUAAUGAUUAUGCUACCUUAGCACGGUCAAAAUACCGCGGCCUUUUAA
rnacentral:rRNA from 1 species